rnacentral:tRNA from 2 species
GCGCCCGUAGCUCAGCUGGAUAGAGCACCGGCCUCCGGAGCCGGGUGUCGGAGGUUCGAAUCCUCUCGGGCGCGCCA